GCGCCCCGCCCGCCGCCGCUGCGGUGGGAGCCGGGAGCGGCCGAGGAUGGCGGCGGCUCCGGCGGCUCGGGAGCUCACGCAGAACCCGCUGCAGAAGACGUGGGAGCCCUACGACAACGGGCUGCCCGCGGGGCACAGCGCGCAGCGCGGCGUAUGUAUGACCAACUGCCCUACUCUGAUUGUCAUGGUGGGCCUCCCAGCAAGAGGAAAAACCUACAUCUCCAAGAAGCUGACACGCUACUUAAAUUGGAUUGGAGUGCCCACGAAAGAGUUUAAUGUUGGUCAGUAUCGUCGAGAUUUGGUGAAAAAGUACAAAUCCUUUGAAUUCUUCCUGCCUGACAAUGAAGAAGGUUUGAAAAUCAGGAGGCAGUGUGCCUUGGCCGCGCUGAACGACGUCCGGCAGUACCUCAGCGAGGAGAACGGGCACGUGGCUGUCUUUGAUGCUACAAACACAACUCGUGAACGUAGAGAAACUAUUUAUAAAUUUGGUGAGGAAAAUGGAUAUAAGACCUUUUUUGUGGAGUCUGUAUGUGUUGAUCCAGAGGUCAUUGCUGCAAACAUUGUGCAAGUGAAGUUGGGCAGUCCUGACUAUGUGGAUUGUAGUAAUGAUGAAGCAACAGAAGACUUCAUGAAAAGAAUAGAGUGCUACAAGAACUCGUAUGAGACCUUAGAUGAAACUCUGGACAAGGAUCUUUCUUACAUUAAAAUUAUGGAUGUUGGAAGGAGUUACCUGGUGAACAGAGUGAUGGAUCACAUCCAGAGCCGGAUUGUCUACUACCUCAUGAAUAUCCACGUGACUCCUCGGUCAAUCUACCUCUGCCGCCACGGAGAGAGCGAGCUCAACCUCAAGGGGAGAAUAGGAGGAGAUCCUGGGCUGUCUGUCAGGGGCAAGGAAUUUGCCAAAAGCUUGUCACAGUUUAUUAAUGAGCAAAAUAUCAAAGAUCUGAAAGUUUGGACCAGCCAGAUGAAAAGGACAAUUCAGACUGCUGAAGCCUUGGGAGUGCCUUAUGAGCAGUGGAAGGUUUUGAAUGAGAUAGAUGCAGGAGUGUGUGAAGAAAUGACAUAUGAAGAAAUACAGGAAAAUUAUCCUCUUGAAUUUGCACUGAGAGACCAAGACAAAUACAGAUACAGAUACCCUAAAGGAGAGUCCUAUGAAGAUCUUGUUCAGAGGCUGGAGCCAGUAAUUAUGGAGCUCGAAAGGCAGGAGAAUGUGCUUGUCAUUUGUCACCAAGCCGUCAUGCGCUGCCUGCUCGCAUAUUUCCUUGACAAGCCUGCAGAACAACUGCCCUACCUGAAGUGCCCACUGCAUACCGUCCUAAAGCUAACCCCCGUGGCUUAUGGAUGUAAAGUAGAAUCUAUAUUUCUGAAUGUCGAAGCUGUAAACACACACAGAGAUAAACCUGAGAAACCUUGGUGUGGUGUUCAUGGUGGAAAAUGGGGAUUUACCCAAGGCUGAUGACAGAGGAAAGGGCUGAUGUGGAUGUAGCAGAACUGAAUGUAGGUGUGAAUAGGUCGAGAGAAGAAGCUUUGAGGACAGUCCCCACCCACCUAUAGCUGCAGCUCCCGGGGCAGCAGCCCUUCCUCCAGCAGCUCAGGGCCCCGCGGUGUCGGAGCAGGGCGGGAUGGACGCGCCUCCCCUUCCCUUCCAGACAUUUCGAAUGUGAUUCUGCUCCUUUGGACAAAACCUGUGCUCGUGGAUAACUCCAAAGCCACAUUUAAUACGUACAUCAGGAAACAGUACAGAAAGGUUAGGUGAGUUUAACCAUUCUAACAGCUCAUGCAACAAAAACACCAGGUAAAUUCUGAAAUAAUUUUAAGAAGGCACACCUGCCUUGGAGUUUUUUGUAUUGUUUUUAAGCACCUUCCAUCAUCCUAGUUCUUCGUUGCUCUUUUAUGCCUAGUGAAACUCCAGUGCUAAAAAUGGAAUUUUCUGUGUCUGUCAAGGUCACAACCUUUUAACUGUACUAAAUCAAAGUGUAUUUUGUAUGUGUGUUACCAGACAACUGAAGUGAGCUGCCAGCACUGCUGCUGGCUCUAGCUCUGCAAUGAGAACUAUUCUUUGGUAGUUGAACUGUGUUUUUUCUAAGGAUUCUCUCCAAUUAAUUGAGCUUUUACCAUGUGAAUUGGUGGGGUUGUUUUGUUGUUUUGGCUUUUUUUCUUUCCUGAAUUCCUGUGUGAAAUACUAGGCCCUGGUAACAUAGUUUUGCAGGCAAGGGCUAAAUUGUCUUUUGUUUGUGCAGGGUCUAUAAAAUAAUGUGCUGCUGUUGUGAUUACUUUUUUUUUUUAAAUAAGCUAAAUUCAGCAAUAUAUUCAGCUCUGGAAGUAAGCCAUAGUGCAUUGCUGGGUUCUGUUUCAGAGGAGGAAUGUGUAGGGUGCACAAUGACCAGGAACACUUGCUUCAAGCGCUGCUGUCUAAAGCUUUGUGUGUGUGUGUGUGUUAUGGUAAUGGCAUUUCAGACCUUUAUUAAUUCAGCUGUGCCCAUAGUUGUGGGGUGAGGAGAGAGCCUGCCUGGCAUUGCUCAGAGGAGUGAAUUCAUUGAUGUGUGGCUAACAAGGCCACCUUUGUGGCACAACUGAAGGGCAAUUUCCCCUCCCACGGUGGUGUGGGAAAGCUGGGCUGUGCCCCAGGCAGCCCUCACUCCUCUGCUGGGACAGCAGGGGUGGUUAAACAGUUUUUACACUGAGAAUGUCAGGAUUUAUCUGUAAAAAUCCCAGGGGGCUGCAUUAGAAAAGGGGGAUUGUGAGCUCAGACCUGGCUGAAGAAGUGUGGGCAGAAAUGUGUCCCCCAGUGAGAGCUGAGCCCGGGGUUUCUUCUCUUUGCUGGUGAGCACAGCUUGAAGUGUCUCCUUUCCCCCUUUGUUUUACCUCUCUGAUCUGUCAGAGGUGUAACAUCCUCGAGGCUACAUGUUCUAUGUACAGUAGGUAUUUUUUUAGCCUGUUCUCAAAUAUACUGUGAUGAGUGUUUUACUGCAAUGGGUGUUCAGUAAAAAGAGUUGUAUAGAAGUGUAAAUAAACUAUUGUGCUGAUACUUGAAGAGGGAAAAAAAAAAAAAAAAAGCUGUUGGUUCUACGGUAGGAAGGUAGUAAAUCAGUGACUGCAUCUGACCCUGGCUGGAGAGAGCAGGUGUAGAUGAUGAAUGUAGAUUUGAGCUGAAUGUAGAGUUGGAGUGAUGGGUUCUCCCAGGGUGUAACCCUAACUGCUGUUCUGGGAAGGCACAGUUAAGAAUUGCAGUUAAUUGUCACUUCUGUAAGUGUGUCCCCCCCUCCUGACAGAACAGUCACUAACAGGGGAGGGGAAGACCCUUGUCCUGACCUUCUGUGUUUGUUCCAUUUGACUGCCUCUGUUCUGUGUGUGCCUGGCUCAGAUGCAGUCUCUCGACUGGGAUUAAACCGUCCUUUCUUACAUCGUUGGCCUUUGUUGUGAUCUUUCAGACAAAUGUAAUCAUUUGCCCUUUGAUCCAAGUAAUAAAGAUCAAAUGCUACAA